rnacentral:rRNA from 1 species
AUACGUAGGGUGCGAGCGUUGUCCGGAAUUACUGGGCGUAAAGAGCUCGUAGGUGGUUUGUCGCGUCGUCUGUGAAAUUCCGGGGCUUAACUCCGGGCGUGCAGGCGAUACGGGCAUAACUUGAGUACUGUAGGGGAGACUGGAAUUCCUGGUGUAGCGGUGAAAUGCGCAGAUAUGAGGAGGAACACCGGUGGCGAAGGCGGGUCGCUGGGCAGUAACUGACGCUGAGGCGCGAAAGCAUGGGGAGCGAACAGGAUUAGAUACCCUGGUAGUCCAUGCCGUAAACGGUGGGCGCUAGGUGUAGGGGUCUUCCACGACUUCUGUGCCGUAGCUAACGCAUUAAGCGCCCCGCCUGGGGAGUACGGCCGCAAGGCUAAAACUCAAAUGAAUUGACGGGG